UAAUACAUCGGAACGUGUCUUCUAGUGGGGGAUAACUGCCCGAAAGGGCAGCUAAUACCGCAUGAGACCUGAGGGUGAAAGCGGGGGAUCGCAAGACCUCGCGCUGGAAGAGCGGCAGAUGUCCGAUUAGCUAGUUGGUGAGGUAAAGGCUCACCAAGGCGACGAUCGGUAGCUGGUCUGAGAGGACGACCAGCCACACUGGGACUGAGACACAGCCCAG
rnacentral:rRNA from 1 species